UGCGGUAUUUUAACCGUGCGAAGGUAGCGUGAUCACUCGUCUUUUAAAUAGAGACCCGUAUGAAUGGUAAAACGAGGGCUUAGCUGUCUCCUUUUUCAUGUCAAUGAAAUUGAUCUUCCCGUGCAAAAGCGGGAAUUAUCUCAUAAGACGAGAAGACCCUGUGAAGCUUUAGACAAUAAGAUAGAUCUGGUUAAUAAACCCUAGUAAAGGAUUAAGCUUCUAACUCCUGUUUUAGCGUCUUCGGUUGGGGCGACCACGGGGAGUCACAUAACCCCCGCGUGGACUGGGUGCAAGAGUGUUUUUGUUCCUAAAGCUAAGAGCCUCCGUUCUAAUAAACAGAAUUUCUGACCUUAUAAGAUCCGGCAAUGCCGAUCAACGAACCAAGUUACUCCAGGGAUAACAGCGCCAUCCUCUUU
rnacentral:rRNA from 1 species